AUACGGAGGGUGAGAGCGUUAAUCGGAAUUACUGGGCGUAAAGCGCGCGUAGGCGGCUUGGUAAGUCGGAUGUGAAAUCCCCGGGCUCAACCUGGGAAUUGCAUUCGAUACUGCCUGGCUAGAGUAUGAUAGAGGGUAGUGGAAUUCCUGGUGUAGCGGUGAAAUGCGUAGAUAUCAGGAGGAACAUCAGUGGCGAAGGCGGCUACCUGGACUAAAACUGACACUGAGGUGCGAAAGCGUGGGGAGCAAACAGGAUUAGAUACCCCGGUAGUCC
rnacentral:rRNA from 1 species